AUUGACCCAUCAGCAGUAGCUACGCAG
rnacentral:piRNA from 1 species